AGAGUUUGAUCCUGGCUCAGAACGAACGCUGGCGGCAGGCUUAACACAUGCAAGUCGAACGCAUCCUUCGGGGUGAGUGGCAGACGGGUGAGUAACGCGUGGGAACAUGCCCUUCAGUUCGGGAUAACCCAGGGAAACUUGGGCUAAUACCGGAUACGCCCUUCGGGGGAAAGAUUCAUUGCCGAAAGAUCGGCCCGCGUCGGAUUAGCUAGUUGGUGGGGUAAUGGCCUACCAAGGCGACGAUCCGUAGCCGGUCUGAGAGGAUGACCAGCCACACUGGGACUGAGACACGGCCCAGACCCCUACGGGAGGCAGCAGUGGGGAAUAUUGGACAAUGGGCGAAAGCCUGAUCCAGCCACGCCGCGUGGGUGAAGAAGGCCUUAGGG
rnacentral:rRNA from 1 species